UAGGGAAUCUUCGGCAAUGGACGAAAGUCUGACCGAGCAACGCCGUGUGUGUGAAGAAGGUUUUCGGAUCGUAAAACUCUGUUGUUUGAGAAGAACAAGUACGUUAGUAACUGAACGUCCCCUGACGGUAUCUAACCAGAAAGCCACGGCUAACUACGUGCCAGCAGCCGCGGUAAUACGUAGGUGGCAAGCGUUGUCUGGAUUUAUUGGGCGUAAAGCGAGCGCAUGCGGUUUCUUAAGUCUGAUGUGAAAGCCCCCGGCUCAACCGGGGAGGGUAAUUGGAAACUGGGAGACUUGGGUGCAGAAGAGGAGAGUGGGAUUCCAUGUGUGGCGGUGAAAUGCGUAGAUAUAUGGAGGAACACCAGUGGCGAAGGCGGCUCUCUGGUCUGUAACUGACGCUGAGGCUAGAAAGCGUGGGGAGCAAACAGG
rnacentral:rRNA from 1 species